UAUAAGUCCAAACGUCCAGCAAGUAACGACAAUUGAAGUAUUAUUAAUUGUGAUUUAUUAAACGAAUAUAGCAACUCUGUCACUCUGACAUGAGUUCUCUGUGGAUAAACAAAUUUAUGUUUAAGAAAUAUUUGAGUAAUAUGAGGAAUAUGCUUUGGAAAUUUAAUGUAAGAGCCUCACAACAAGACCAGAAUGUUUUAUUAGUGCUAAAAAACAAAUAGUUCAUAUUUACAACAUUCAAGAAUUAAAGAGGAAUAUAUAAUUUUGUUUGCAUGGGAAAUCAUAGAGGUACUCAAACUCAAUAUUUUAACAGAUUUAUAUAUCUAUAUUUAUUUUUAGGUGAAUAAAAUUGAAGAUGAAAAAGAUUACAUCAGAUAUUGAAAGGAUAGAUUGAUAAGCAGUAAUUGGUGCUAAACAUGUAGAAAACCAGAAGAUAACCCACUUGACGAGUUGGCUGGAGUUCCUAAAAAUGUAUCGUAAUUAAAGCGGUUAAUCCGAUGAAGAGUUUAAAGUUUCCUUACCAGUAAUCAAAGCACUAUUGUCACUAUAUUGAAAGGCGUUGCAUAGCAUGAUAUGCGCUUGCUGCCACUGAUCGGCCCACUCAAGACAAAUUAAAUGCAAAAUAAUUUUUAUAAAAUACAAUUUAUUCUCUGAAUAUGCAGACAAUUAAAACAAAAAUUGUUUAUAAUUUUAAAAAAAAAUUUCCAUUUGUCAAACAGUUAAUAUUUUAUUUUUGAC